AUUACUCUAAGGAAAUUGCACAUCCGUGCGUAGACCUAUCGGUUUACUACCACGAUUCCUCCCUUAGGCCAACAAUUCCUAGGAAUUGUUACACGCCACUACAACUAUAUCGCCUAUUUCUGUCGGCCGCACCGGUUCGGACCGCUCGGUUCUGUGGUGAAGUGUAGAAACCCAUCACGCUUGAACGCCUUUUUGUUGUAGGGCAAAUUGACGCUGUCGUACCGCCACAAAGGUCCCAUUUCGUAUCGCUGUCCGUUCGUUUCCCGCUCCAAUAUUGCCAACGCUCUUUCGUCGUCCCUAGGCCGCAACGGCCGCACUGCUUUGUCGGACUUGGAGUUACAAGAGAGGUUGUGAAACGGGCGGCCCGAGAAGGACCGGUUUGAAGGACUCGGCUUUGCACUCGCAACCGAGCAAGGCCCAUAGACAACCCAUCCAAGGCGGGUUUUCGAAGCGACCGGUUCGUUGCAGCUUGCAUCCACGGUCUUCAGAGUUCGCGUUAUGUUGCAGUUGUCUAUGCCUAUGAGGAUGCGAGGCACGGCGUAAGCGUAGGAUUCGAACUGGAGACCUCUCAGAUGAGUAUAGCGUGCAGUCAGUUGUGCUACGUUUACAGAUUGUUCCGGAAGGGCAAGCUCUUUGACCGUGUGUACUUCUGAUAGUUUGUAUAUCGCAUGCGACAUGUUUCUACCCGAUAUGCGCACCGAUAGCCUUACGGAGUCUUGUUCUGCUCUUGUCACGUCUCCCGUCCAUUGUAGACACAAGGGGUACGGUGUCCCUGUAACUCCAAGCUCCUGUGCUAGUUCGUGCUCCAUAAACGUGGAAGUAGAG